GACAGAGGCCUCAAGCGUUAGGCGGAAUCACUGGGCUUAAAGCGUGUGUAGGCGGAUCGUUAAGUGUCUUGUGAAAUCCCACGGCUCACCCGUGGAACUGCUGGGCAUACUGGCGAUCUUGGGCCAACUAGGGGCAACUGGAACAAGCGGUGGAGCGGUGAAAUGCGUAGAUAUCAUUUGGAACGCCAAUGGUGAAAACAGGUAGCUGGGGCUGUGCUGACGCUGAGACACGAAAGCCAGGGGAGCAAACGGG
rnacentral:rRNA from 1 species